rnacentral:rRNA from 1 species
UGGGGAAUAUUGGACAAUGGGCGAAAGCCUGAUCCAGCCAUGCCGCGUGAUGGACGAAGUGCUUCGGCACGUAAACAUCUUUUAUGUGGGAUGAAAUUAUUGACAGUACCACAUGAAUAAGGGGCUCCUAACUCUGUGCCAGCAGGAGCGGUAAUACAGAGGCCCCAAGCGUUAUCCGGAAUCACUGGGCGUAAAGGGUGUCGAGGCGGUUGUAUUAGUCGUUCGUAAAAUCUACGAGCUUAACUUGUAGGCGGCGAACGAAACGGUACGACUUGAGGUUUGGAGAGGUGCGUGGAACUCACGGUGUAGGGGUGAAAUCCGUUGAUAUCGGAAGGAACAUCAGUUGCGAAGGCGGCUCUCUGGACUCAAACUGACGCUGAGGCACGAAAGCGUGGGUAGCGAACAGGAUUAGAUACCCUCGUAGUCCCUGAGCGGGCUGG